GCUGACCAGCCAAGCAGGAGGAUGUACCUACCCUUGGAGCUCCCAGGGAUGACCAGAGCGGAUCCCAAUAGGGCCGAUGAGUACUAAAACUACAUGAAUUUUCCACCAGAGAAUCACCAACUCACUCAGCAUCCUAUCAUGACUUGUUUCUCUAUAUGCUAGAUGUUUCACUAAACUGAGCUUCACUGUUUAUUAAACUGAACUCAGUGAGAGCUGGAAGAGCGCUCAGCACCUCACACAAGAUCCAGAAUUAGUAACUGGGAACUAAGAGAACAGCUGUUCUUAUGGAACUUCAAGAUGCAUUGAAACUAGGAAACAGAAAUCUCACAAGAAGCCUGAUCUAGUGAAAUUUCCAGAUCAGAAAAUGAAUGGGAUGUGUAGAUAAGUAUACAAGUUUUGUAUAGCUUGUCCAAAGAAGGCCUUCAUACACCACAUGUGCAGUCACAUUGAACUCAAACGCAGAAUUUGCCUGAAAAAUCUUGAAUACUGACGAUGAUGAUGAUGAUGUGUUAAGAGAAAAACAAAGUCUGAACUCCUCUCAGCACAUGUUUGUGCAGCUGACAAUUAAAAAAAUAUAUAUAUCUUCUGACUCAAACUUACCAAUUUGACCUGGAAAUUGUUUGACUUAAUAAAUAUGG